GAAGGAUGAGAAGCUUCGACUAAGGUUCGAUUCGAGCGUCAGCGAGAAAGCGUUGCCGCAGGCAACGACCCGAAGGGCGAAGCGCGCAGCGCUGAGUCAUCCUUCCCCCACCACCA
rnacentral:sRNA from 3 species